rnacentral:rRNA from 1 species
GUCAGAAAUGACUGCUAAUACCGCAUAAGACCACAGCACCGCAUGGUGCAGGGGUAAAAACUCCGGUGGUACAGGAUGGACCCGCGUCUGAUUAGCUGGUUGGUGAGGUAACGGCUCACCAAGGCGACGAUCAGUAGCCGGCUUGAGAGAGUGAACGGCCACAUUGGGACUGAGACACGGCCCAAACUCCUAACGGGAGGCAGCAUG